rnacentral:rRNA from 1 species
GACGAACGCUGGCGGCGUGCUUAACACAUGCAAGUCGAACGGAAAGGCCCUGCUUUUGUGGGGUGCUCGAGUGGCGAACGGGUGAGUAACACGUGAGUAACCUGCCCUUGACUUUGGGAUAACUUCAGGAAACUGGGGCUAAUACCGGAUAGGAGCUCCUGCUGCAUGGUGGGGGUUGGAAAGUUUCGGCGGUUGGGGAUGGACUCGCGGCUUAUCAGCUUGUUGGUGGGGUAGUGGCUUACCAAGGCUUUGACGGGUAGCCGGCCUGAGAGGGUGACCGGCCACAUUGGGACUGAGAGACGGCCCAGACUCGUACGGGAGGCAGCAGUGGGGAAUAUUGCACAAUGGGCGGAAGCCUGAUGCAGCAACGCCGCGUGCGGGAUGACGGCCUUCGGGUUGUAAACCGCUUUCGCCUGUGACGAAGCGUGAGUGACGGUAAUGGGUAAAGAAGCACCGGCUAACUACGUG